GAGUAUCUUUGUGGUGGUUGAGUCGCGGGCGAUAAGGAUCGAUCGAGAAGUUUUAAAGUACAAAGUGGGUGAAGAAGUGAUCAUGAGUUAACUAUGAGUCGAAUAAGCUGCUCUACCAUUGUUAGAAGUGUCUUAGAUUGAUCAGACGGCAGUUUUGGAAGAAUCACAUUUUUGAAGCACGACGGUUUAGAAGCUCGAUGUUUUUGAAGAUUGACGUUUCUUCAUC
rnacentral:lncRNA from 1 species